CUCCUACGGGAGGCAGCAGUGGGGAAUAUUGGACAAUGGGCGAAAGCCUGAUCCAGCCAUGCCGCGUGGGUGAAGAAGGCCUUAGGGUUGUAAACCCCUUUCAGCGGGGAAGAUAAUGACGGUACCCGCAGAAGAAGCCCCGGCUAACUCCGUGCCAGCAGCCGCGGUAAUACGGAGGGGGCUAGCGUUGUUCGGAAUUACUGGGCGUAAAGCGCGCGUAGGCGGAUCUGCAAGUCAGGGGUGAAAUCCCGAGGCUCAACCUCGGAACUGCCUUUGAUACUGCGGAUCUCGAGUCCGAGAGAGGUGAGUGGAAUUCCUAGUGUAGAGGUGAAAUUCGUAGAUAUUAGGAAGAACACCAGUGGCGAAGGCGGCUCACUGGCUCGGUACUGACGCUGAGGCGCGAAAGCGUGGGGAGCAAACAGGAUUAGAUACCCUGGUAGUCCACGCCGUAAACGAUGUCAACUAGACGUUGGGGGGUUUAACCCUUUAGUGUCGCAGCUAACGCAAUAAGUUGACCGCCUGGGGAGUACGGCCGCAAGGUUAAAACUCAAAGGAAUUGACGG
rnacentral:rRNA from 1 species